rnacentral:tRNA from 1 species
UGUGGCUCAAUGGUAGAGCACUUUCCUUGCAGGUAUGAAGCACUGGGUUCAAUCCUCAGCA